CUUCUCUCCAAAUCCACUUGCCAACAAGCCAGCUCAGCCAAACUUAAGGGGAUGGGAAACAGAUUGGGUUCAGAUGAUUUCUUUAAAAAAGAAACCCAAACCAAUAAGCACGUACUGAGCGCUUGCAGACGCUGGGCUGUCACAUACACUUCCUCCUUCUCGCAGCAAGCAGGGCUGUGGCUGUCACCCCAGCCCAGGAGAGGGACGUGAGAGCCAAAGGAGUCAGCAUCACAGCCUGGAGACAAAGCUGGGAUUUUGACUGGAUGCCAUCUAGUUAGCUAUCAGAAAGUUCUCUCCAAGAGGGGAGAACACUAGUGUUUAUUUGUAUUUGCAUAAACAAACACUGAAAAAAUACGUAAGAAACUAAUAUGAAGAUGUUUUCAGAGUAAAUGAGCUUGAACACCUAAUUGAAACUGAUUUGAUAUCCAGAAUGUAUGUAAGGGUUUUAUUUUAUUUUCAAUAAAGAUAAUCCACUUACAUGACCAAAAAAAGUGAGUUCUUUCUGGUCAUGGCAUGGAAUUAGUCUUCUUCAACUUCUAUGUUUGGCUCCCAGUUUCCAGUACGACGAGGAAAACCACCUCCUUCUAUCACUCAGCCCCCAACUUGAGUGGGGAGAUGAAGCUGUGUCCUCAGGGAGCCGCAGUCUGAGGGAGCCCCAGUCUGAGGGGAGACACAGCCCCAUCCUCAGGGGGGUCCCAGUCUGAGGCGAGAUGCAGCCUUUCUCAGGGGGGCCCGGUCUGAGGGGAGAUGUAGCCCUGUCCUCAGGGAACCUCAGUCUGAGGGAAGACACAGCCCCGUCCUUAGGGGGCCUCAGUCUGAGGGGAGACGCAGAGCUUUGCCCUGAGGGAGUUCCCAAGCCCAGCUUCUCUGGGUCAGGUAAAAU
rnacentral:lncRNA from 1 species